ACAGUCGCCCACUCACCCCACAUGCACCUUGAGGUGACAGCCCCACUGUCACAUCAUGGCAGCUUGACUCUUUCUUCAGGCUCUUGGUGAAGGAACAAAAGCAGCAAAUAAACAAAACAUCACAGGAAGGGAAGUGGCAGCAGAAGGAUGAUAUUAAUACUUUUUUCUUUCCCUGUGAGAACCGCUGUCAGUCAAAUGGAGUUCACUUCGUGUGCCGGCUUCUCACUUUGAUUUUCACUCGACGUCCCUGCAGGUGGAAACUCCGUUUUUCAUGUAAGCAUGCCAACUGUCAUACCUAAUGACCACACAGAACAGACAAAUAUAAUCUGAAACUGUUACUUUGUGGACAUGAAAGACAAAUAAAAAAGAAAACAAAACAUGAA